ACGCUCGACACCUACGGGAGGCCGCAGUGGGGAAUAUUGCACAAUGGGAGAAACCCUGAUGCAGCGACGCCGCGUGAGCGAAGAAGUAUCUCGGUAUGUAAAGCUCUAUCAGCAGGGAAGAAGAUGACGGUACCUGACUAAGAAGCACCGGCUAAAUACGUGCCAGCAGCCGCGGUAAUCUGAGCGGGCUGGCAAGGC
rnacentral:rRNA from 1 species